GCCUAUGGCGGAGUGCGGCCGGGGGGGCACCGCCGGCGGGGCCCUGCCCACCUCCCCGAGCCCGGCCCUCGGCGCCAAGGGCUCCCUGAAAGCCGCAGCCGGGGAAGGCGGCGGCGGCGGGGGAGGUCGCCUCGGCCAGGGGCGGGCGCGCUAUGACAGCGGCGGGGUUUCCAACGGAGACUGCAGCCUCGCCGUGUCCGGGGACGAAGCCCGAGCCAGCCCCGCCAGGGGACCCCGCGGCGCUGCGGUCGCCCUGACCCCCAGUCCAGCCGCUGGCCCCCUCCCCCGGGAAAGCAAGCCGGGCGGCCUGCCCCGCCGGAGCAGCAUCAUCAAGGAUGGUACAAAACAGAAAAGAGAACGGAAGAAGACGGUAUCAUUCAGCAGCAUGCCAACAGAGAAGAAGAUCAGCAGUGCAAGUGAUUGUAUCAAUUCAAUGGUUGAAGGUUCAGAACUCAAAAAGGUUCGAUCCAACUCUAGGAUUUACCAUAGAUAUUUUUUACUGGAUGCCGACAUGCAGAGCCUGAGGUGGGAGCCGUCCAAGAAGGAUUCUGAGAAAGCCAAGAUUGAUAUUAAAUCCGUCAAGGAAGUGAGAACAGGAAAAAAUACAGACAUAUUCCGUAGCAAUGGCAUUUCUGACCAGAUAUCUGAAGAUUGUGCAUUUUCGAUCAUAUAUGGAGAGAAUUAUGAAUCACUUGAUUUGGUUGCCAACUCUGCAGAUGUUGCAAACAUCUGGGUUACUGGACUGCGGUACCUAAUUUCUUACGGAAAACAUACACUUGAUAUGUUAGAAAGUAGCCAAGACAACAUGAGGACUUCUUGGGUUUCACAAAUGUUUGGUGAAAUAGAUGUAGAUAACCUUGGACAUGUAACCCUGUGUAAUGCUGUGCAGUGUAUCAGAAACCUCAAUCCUGGUUUAAAAAUGAGCAAAAUUGAGCUUAAGUUCAAAGAAUUGCACAAAUUCAAGGACAAAGCUGGUACUGAAGUCACAAAGGAAGAGUUUGUUGAAGUUUUCCAUGAGCUUUGUACUAGACCUGAAAUUUAUUUCCUUUUAGUUCAGUUUUCAAGCAAUAAAGAAUUCCUUGACACCAAGGACCUUAUGAUGUUUCUUGAGGCAGAACAGGGUGUGGCACAUAUAAAUGAGGAAAUAAGCCUUGAAAUUAUUCACAAAUAUGAGCCAUCCAAAGAGGGUCAGGAAAAGGGCUGGCUCUCCAUAGAUGGGUUCACUAAUUACCUUAUGUCACCUGACUGUUACAUAUUUGAUCCGGAACAUAAGAAGGUCUGUCAGGAUAUGAAGCAACCUUUGUCUCAUUACUUUAUAAACUCAUCUCAUAAUACAUACUUAAUAGAGGAUCAGUUCCGGGGUCCCUCUGAUAUCACAGGAUACAUUCGAGCUCUUAAAAUGGGUUGCCGGAGUGUUGAAUUAGAUGUAUGGGAUGGGCCAGAUAAUGAACCUGUGAUUUACACGGGCCAUACCAUGACCUCUCAGAUAGUCUUCCGCAGUGUCAUUGAUAUUAUUAACACGUAUGCAUUCUUUGCUUCAGAGUAUCCUCUUAUUUUGUGUUUAGAAAACCACUGUUCCAUUAAACAACAGAAGGUGAUGGUUCAACAUAUGAAGAAAAUUUUGGGAGACAAGCUCUAUACAACGUUACCUAAUGUUGAGGAAUCUUAUCUGCCAUCCCCAGAUAUCCUAAAAGGGAAAAUACUGAUCAAAGCAAAGAAACUUUCCUCAAAUUGCUCUGGAGUAGAAGGAGAUGUUACUGAUGAAGAUGAAGGAGCAGAAAUGUCUCAGAGGGUGGGAAAAGAGGACGUGGAGCAACCCAACCAUCUGCCUGUGAAACGGUUUCAGCUUUGUAAAGAGCUCUCUGAGCUGGUCAGCAUCUGCAAAUCAGUUCAGUUCAAAGAAUUUCAGGUGUCAUUUCAGGUUCAGAAGUACUGGGAAGUCUGCUCGUUUAAUGAAGUACUUGCUAGCAAAUACGCCAAUGAAAAUCCAGGGGACUUUGUAAAUUAUAACAAACGUUUUCUUGCUCGGGUUUUUCCUAGUCCAAUGAGAAUUGACUCUAGUAACAUGAACCCUCAAGAUUUUUGGAAAUGUGGUUGUCAGAUAGUAGCCAUGAACUUUCAGACGCCAGGAUUGAUGAUGGACCUGAAUAUCGGCUGGUUCAGACAGAAUGGGAACUGUGGCUACGUCCUCCGACCAGCCAUCAUGAGGGAGGAAGUCUCCUUCUUCAGUGCCAAUACAAAAGACUCCGUCCCAGGAGUCUCACCUCAGCUUCUUCACAUUAAGAUCAUCAGUGGGCAGAACUUUCCCAAGCCCAAAGGAUCAGGUGCCAAAGGUGACGUGGUGGAUCCUUAUGUCUACGUUGAAAUUCACGGGAUCCCUGCUGACUGUGCUGAACAGAGGACAAAAACAGUGCACCAGAAUGGAGACACGCCCAUUUUUGAUGAAAGCUUUGAAUUUCAAAUCAACCUGCCUGAACUGGCCAUGGUGCGCUUUGUAGUGCUAGAUGAUGAUUACAUCGGGGAUGAGUUUAUCGGUCAGUACACAAUUCCCUUUGAAUGUUUACAGACGGGCUACCGCCAUGUGCCCCUGCAGUCACUGACUGGAGAGGUCCUAGCACAUGCGUCUCUAUUUGUCCACGUGGCUAUCACCAACCGAAGAGGAGGAGGGAAACCUCAUAAGAGGGGCCUGUCUGUGAGGAAAGGGAAGAAAUCCAGGGAAUAUGCUUCAAUGAGAACAUUGUGGAUUAAAAGUGUAGAUGAGGUGUUCAAGAACGCCCAGCCCCCCAUACGGGAAGCCACGGAUCUGAGAGAGAACAUGCAGAACGCAGUGGUGUCAUUCAAGGAGCUGUGUGGCCUCUCCUCUGUGGCCAAUCUCAUGCAGUGCAUGUUGGCGGUGUCUCCCCGCUUUCUGGGGCCUGAUAACACCCCCCUGGUGGUGCUGAAUCUCAGCGAGCAGUAUCCCAUGAUGGAGUUGCAGGGAAUCGUGCCUGAGGUUCUGAAGAAGAUCGUAACAACUUACGACACGGAUUCAGAGGUACUUGCUUCAGUUGGAUUAAACAAUAACUAGCUUCUCAAGAACUAGAUCUGAACAGAUUUCUAAAAGCUGUGCCAUUUUCCACACGUAUGUAGUAAAGACGUUUUUUUCCUCCUGUAACCAGCCAUUGAUUCACUCAUUUUGUCUUAGUUUUUCAAACUGGUAAGUGUGAGACAUUUAAUUUUUUUAAGUAUAAAUUUUACGUGCCAAAAGGGGCAGAUGCUUCCAUGACAUGAUUCUGCCCUGUGUGGCGGCUCCCUUCCUUUCAGCAGCUGCUCUGACAUGCCCAUGGUCUGGUACCAGCCUAACGUUAAUGGUGCGUCCUCAGGCCUCCUAGAAUAUUACACUUCUGCACUUAAGACUCCAAGUGAGAAAUAAGGGUCAUUUGAGAAACUCUCCUCUCCAGAACUCUGAAUCAUUCCCAGUCUACACUGCUGAGGCGUGUCCCUCUGUGAGGACAGUACCGUGGUACUUCCUGAAAACGUACGGAUAUGUAUAUACACUAUCAGGACUUUGAUUACUCUGCAGUUUCUAAACUUCUAUUAAUAAAAUAGUAUAUGAGAAAUAUGCCACUUUCUUUAUGAAAAUGGAGAAAGAUUGUGGAAAUGUGAACAAUGUAUAAGCCUGUAUGAGGCUAGAAAAAAACACCCACUCAUAAGGUGGUCACACAUCCCAGCUUUCCUGGGGCAGACCCUGUUUAUACACCCAUUGUCCCAGCAUAAUUAGUAAUAAUUCCCUCUGUCAUUCUUAGAAAUCUCCCUGUUCGGACAAUUAAUUGUAUGGUCACCCUAGCCGUGGGCUGCAGAUUGACCUAAUGGAUCCUGUGAUUACCAACAAAUAGAACUUCCUCACAGCUGAGCAGAUACUGUUGUUGCCCUAUUUGUGGUGCCUUCUUGGAUCCUGGGAGUGGGGAGGUUUGAGCCCAGAUCCUGUUCAGAAAGGCGGGUGUCAAAGCCAGCCAGGAGUGGAGGAUGAAGAGAACCAGUACAAAUGCCUUCUUAGACUAGGCAGGUUGGGGGUGGUUAAAAACAAGGACUGGACCAGUGUGGAGAGUGAGACUGAACGGGUGCUGGUCAGCAGUGCUGGAGUCAGGACACGACAGUCUAGGAUGGAAGGCACCUGCUGAUAUUGUACCUGAAGGCCUUGUCAUGCUGGGGAGGCCUUAAGGGCCAGCCUGGGCCUUUAAACGAGGCUACUUUGUCCCCAUGAGCCCAGUGUCCUUAAGUACUCUAUUCCAUUUCUUAGGGACUCAGCUUUUUCUCCUGGGUCAAGCUCCCCCAAUCAGCUUAACUCCUCUGACUAUCUAAACAGCAGUGGCCCUUGAGUCCCUGUAUUCAUACCUGUCCUAUUCUUUUCAUCAGAUAGAAGGUGGCUUCCGUUAUUAAGCCACAUGGUUGGGCACUUUCCCACAACCUCAUAUUUAUUAUAUUUCAUUGCAUAAUAUGUAUUAUAUCAUACAUUAUGACUAUGGAAUCAGAGAGUUGUACUUUUUUACUUAAAUAAUUGAUUUGCUUUAGUUAAGAUGGCAGUGUUAAAUCCUUCUGAAGUGGAAUAUAGUAGAAAUCUAAUUGGUUUAUUUCAACAAGAGAGAUAAAAUAAGUGACAAUGUGAUUAAAAGAUAAAACCCAUUGCUGCCGAGUCGAUUCCGACUCAUAGCAAUCCUAUAGGAUAGAGUAGAACUGCCCCAUAGGGUUUCCAAGGAGCAACUGGUGGAUUUGAACUGCUGACCUUUUGGUUAGCAGCCAAGCUCUUAAACACUGUGCCACCAGGGCUCCUCGAUUAAAUAGUACGUGCUGUGAAUUCCACACCCUUUAUAAGCUUUUACCAUGUGUAAGACACUGUUCACUUAUUAAACAAAAAGUAUCAUUGAGUACCAGAGCCCUGGUGGCCCAACAGUUAAACACUUGGCUGCUAACAGAAAAGUUGGCAGUUGGAACCUACCCAGCUGAUCUGCAGGAGGAAAUCCUGACGAUUUGCUCCUGUAAAGAUUACAGCAUAGAAAACCCUAUAGGGCAGUUAUAUUCAGUCACAUGGGGUCUCUAUGAAUCAAAAUUAACUUGACAACACCUAACAGCACAAUAACUUUGUGCCAGGGACUAUUCUAGUCACCAUGAGGGAAUAUAAAGACAAGACUUUUUCUUCUCUUAGGAGGCUUACUAUUUAAUAGAAAAGAUGAAGUGUGUCCAUAGUUAAUUAGAUAGGUAGGUAGGUGGGUAGAUAGAUUAAAUAGAUAGAGAUCGAUCGAUCAACAGACAGAUUUUUAAAUAUAGAAAGAACUUACUUGGAUGUUCACGGGAGAAAAUGGUCAGUUUCAGCUUUAGGGAUUGGGAAGACUUGAGGAAGGAAACAUUGACCUUUGAGCUAGGUCUUUAAGAAUGAGUCAGAUUUCAACUAGUAAAGAUAAUAGGGGAGCUAUUGCAGCCUGGUGGCUCAGUGGUAGAAAUCUUGCCUUCCAUGCGGGAGACCUGGGUUUGAUUCCUGUUCAGUCUACCUCAUGUGCAGCCGCCACCCAUCUGUCAAUGAGGCUUGAGUGUUGCUAUGAUGCUGAACAGGUUUCAGGGUGCUUCCAGACUAAGAUGGAGUAAGAAGAAAGGCCUGGUGAUCUACUUCUGAAAAUCAGCCUGUGAAGACUCUUUGGAUCACAGUGAUACAGGCAGCAUUUUGUUCUGCUGUGUGUGGAAUCCCUAUGAAUUGGGGGCCAACUCAACAGCAGCUAAAAACAACGAAUUGAAACCUGGGAGUUCCUCAGUGGUGAAAACAGUUAACAUGCUUGGCCGCUAACUGAAAGGUUGGAGAUUCGAGUCCACCCAGAGGCGCAUGGGAAGAAAGUUCUGGCAAUCUACUUCUGAAAAAUUAGCCAUUGAAAACCCUAUGAAGCACAGUUCUACUUUGACAUACACGGGGUCACCAUGAGUUGGAAUCAACUCCACAGCAACUGAUAUUGCAACCUGAAUUCACAAGUGAAACGUGUUUAGAAAUGGAAAGCACAUAUUCUAGGAAACCCAAGUUUGGACUGUAUUGGUAAUGGGGAGUCCCUGCAUAGUUUUGAGCAAUGAAAGAUUCUUCACAGAAUAAGCAUGUGGGCUCUUUGAGGGUUGGGGGUAAAAGAGGACUCAGAGACCACCUGUUGAGUACUUUUACAGAUGAGAAAAUGGAAACCCUGUGCUACAGCAAAUUAAUGGCAGAGCCCAAGCAGCCUUUCCAGCCAAUUCUUGUUCUUCAGCCAGAUCAGAAAAUUAACUAUGUAGGGUAUGUAGGUGAACGAUCAAUGUACCUAUAGAACUGCCCCAUAAGAUUUCAAAGGAGUGGCCGGUGGAUUUGAACUGCUGACCUUUUGGUUAGCAGCCUGACCUCUCAACCACUGUGCCACAGAGCCGCAUCUUCAGUAAUAAUCUGUGAUAUUUUGAACACUAAAGUUAUUCAUGUGGGGUUGGUCUGUAAAGUCAUAGGUACCUUAUUGAGUCUUGCUCCUCAUGAAGGUGAAAUAUAAUUCAUUUUGCAUACUUUGGUAUGUAUUAAAAGACAGAUUUGAUGAACUUAAAAUAAGGAAGACUGUAAUCAAUAGUUAAAUCCAAUUCCACUCAAAGAAAUCUAAUUAUAAGUAUCUGAAAAUUUCUUUAAUAUUAUUACUUCAGAAGAUUAAAAAUUUAAAUAUUUCGCUUAAAAUUUAUCUAAACAAACUUGAUCGCAUCCACUGUUUACAGUCAAAUAUCGAGACUGAGCUUGUUCUCGCCUGUAAUUAAAAGCUGCUGGGAGAAAAACACAGAUUAUGUAGCCUGAGUUUAAGAGUCUAUGAGUCGGAAUCGACCUGAUGGCAACGGGUUUGGUGUUUUUGGUAAGUGAAUAACUAUGGUCCCUGGGUGCCGCAAACAGUUUGCGCUUGGCUACUAACUGAAAGGUUGGCAGUUUAAAUCUACCCAGCGGUGCCACAGAAGAAAGGCCUGGCAAUCCACAAGAUUACAGCCAUUAAAAACCCUAGGGAGUACAGUUGUACUCUGAAACAUACGGGGUCACCAUGAGUCAACAGUUGACACGAUGGCAGUGGGUUUGGUUUUUAGUGAAUAACUUGAUACUCUUUAAUAAUAUACAGCACUCUGAAGAACGGGUCAGCACUGGGAUUUCAGUACUGUAUCUUCCCUCCCCCCACCAAUAUAAGUGAUCUAAUUCAUCAUCUUUUUAAACCAAAAUGAUUUUAUCAUCCUUUUUAAUGUGCAUGAGAGUGAUAAUUCUGCUCUCUAGCUAUCUUUAUUUAGAUUGACCAGAAUAAUCUGUUUAAGACUUGAAUUUUUUUUUUUUUUUUGAUUUUAUGAGAUCCAUACUGACAUAUGAGGCCAAGGAGUCAACAUUCUUCCUUUACAGAGAAAAAAAAUUGGAAAUUGAAAUAUUUUGUAUAGUAUUACGUGAAAAAAGUUCUCUUUAAAAGUUUUUUCAUUGAUUUCACUACAGUUUUUCUGUACUAUGGAAUACCCCUCAGCCAUUGUAAUUAAAUUGAAGAUGAGAUCAUAGGGAAUGAAAAGGAUAGAAGAAGAAAAAGUAAUGAAAGAAAACGAUGCCCAACUCUGUGUUAUGGGCAGUAUGGCUAUUUGUACACGCAGCGGCAGACCCUCAGGCAACCAUUUGUUCCGCAAUUACGCGUUAAGUCAUUCUUAUCAUUGCAGUCUCUUUGUCCACACUUUCUAUUUAAACUUAAUUUGUUUUGAACGCCUUUUCCUUGCAGUUCCAAAAAAAAAAAAAAUGUUGAUUUUAAUUACCUUCAGGUUUAAUUAAGAAAACGUACUCUGGAGAACCCACAUAUGCGGUAGAGAAUAGGAAUUUUGUAAGUGCUGAAAGGGAGGAACAAGAUGCUUUGCCUAAGAGGAUGUUAUUUGCUGUCUGUGAAUGUUUUUAUGUAACUUUUUGAGUUUUCUAACAUAUGACUUUAAAUAUUCCUUAAAUAAACAAGGGUCUUUGAAUAAAGUAUGUGAAACGAAGGGAUUUUUUUCCAAAUAAAAACCAUUUUGGCAACUGGCACACAACAUCAGGAGCAUUCUAUUUUAUGUUAUCGGUAUAGUUUCAUGGGUUUUUUUCUUGCCAGUGAUUAAUGCAGCGAGAAGAUAAAUCACACUUCAUAACUAAUGGAUUCUGCCCAUCUGGGCCAAGCCAGAGACAAUCUGUAAUAAGGUUACCAUUGAUUCCAUCUCCUUUUGUAGCUCUUUUUAUCACACUCCUGCCACAGAACUUGACAUUAAAAGCUUCUUUUAAUUGGAGGUGUCGACUUUACCAACAUUUAUGACCAGAGAAAAAAGGCCAGAUAGAAUAUUAUUCUUAAGGAUAAGAUUGAGCUAAAAAAAAAAAAAAAGGUGAUAGAUUGGGGAAACGUGGAUGUAACCUGCAGAAUGGAGAUCAGAACAGUUAAAACUGCUAAGCCACUAGGAGGAGAAAAGAAGUGUUUAAAAGAUACUAUGUAAUAAAAACAUCACAUGUCCGGGGAUGAGAUAUAGCAAGCUGCCACAGAGUAACUAGAAGCAGGGCCAUUCGGAAAAUUUUGGAAGAUAGUGCUUCAAGACAGGAAGUGCAGGUGGUGGCGACUAUAUGUAAGUCUGUAUUUCUGAUCCAGUUUUCUAGUUUUACACACAUCUGUAGACGUCAUUGAGGAACACAUGUUCAGAAGUAUUCACACAUGCACACAACAGAUACUAAGCAAUGAACGUCAUGUUUGGUAAAGUAGAGGGUCUGUGAAAAUGAGGAAAACCCUUAAUGAGACAGAUUCACAUAAUAGCUGCAACAAUGGACUCAAACAUACCAAUGAUUGUGAGGAUGGCACAGGACUGGGCAGCGUUUCAUUCUGUUAUACGUAAGGUCGCUGUGAGUCGGAGUGGACUCGACAGCUGUUAACGACAGCAGCAAGCAACGAACAGUUGGAGAAAGUAGCAUUUUGGGGGCUGGCAAUCCCCUUGAAAGACAUGUCAUCAUAUACACUUUAUCACUCACAUUUGAUAUCCAGCUCUCAACCUUCUGGGAGGACAGAUGAAAGCCUUAGUGCAGUUUACCUUGUUGUCAGAUGGUGUCCUCAGACAAGGAGUGAUAAAUGGUAUUAAGCAGCCACGGUAUUAUCCGACAGACUAACAGUCUGAUUUAAAAUUUCUAAGUAAGCUAGAAAACAAAUGACUUAGAGUGCUGUCCGACCAUGUUGGUGCAUGAGAAAUGGGAGCCUGCUGUUGGCUUCACUCUAGUUCUUGAGUAGGUUUCAUUUGAGCCAGAGCAGCCUGGAGAACUGUUAGGGUUUGGGGCCAUUUAUAUGGUAAGGUCUUCACUGUUUUAAUUUUCCUUUUAGAGCCUUUCUGUUGCAUUUUAAUGGGGCAGAGAAACUGCUUAUUUUUCAAGCACUUUGUUUGCCUGACUCUGGUAGAAAAUAUGUAUAAAAUAUAUCUGACACCUAAAGCCCAAGAAAAGUUUGGGAAAUUCUUUUUCAACCUAUGCUUUAUGCAAAAGAACACUACUACGUAUGUGAUAAAACUAAGAUAUUGAAGUGCUGUGGUCUUUUUUCUCCCUAUGCAAGAGCGGAGGGAUUACUUCCUAUGCUCCUGUCAAAUUCCACAUUGAAUACUGAAUUUUGUCUUGAAUAAUUUCUUUAAAGAUUUUUUUUUUUGCUAUUUUCUUUUCUUGGCUAGAAGCCUUUUGUUUCUCUUUCUGCAGAAGCUCAGGGCAUCUCCUUAAGUUGUUUGCUAAGUUUCUUUCUCUGUCAAGGACCCUAAAGUAUACUAAAAAAAAAGACUUUAUACAUUAUUAAGAUUCUGUACUUGUUCUAUAGGUCAUAGACACAGUUCUUUUGGUUAGCCGUGAUGCAUACUGGUUCCAUGCCCCUACACAUAGCUUUCUUAUCCCAGUCGUUUCAGUAAACUUUUUGGCUGUGUUGUAAACCAGUUGCCCUUGAGCUGAUUCCAACUCAUGGCAACCCCAUGUAUGUCAGAGUAAAGCUGUUUUUCUAUAGGUGGUCUAUUUUGUGGAAAUAGAUCACCAGGCCUUUCAUCGCAGGCUCUCUUAGACUUUGAAGAAAUAAACUUUCAUUGAGGAGAGACAGUUGCCUUUCCAUUCUUGUGGCCAUCAUUUUAGUUCAGCUCUUCAUGGCCUUAUGCCUGUGAAGCAGAGUUUGAGUUCAGACUUCACACUCAACUCAGAUGGAGAAAAACAUGUCGUUUCCAUCUCUCUCCUGGUGGGAGUGGUGGUGGUAACAUGAGUGUCCUUAAAUUAUAGUUCAUUGUUGAAUGGAUGGAAAGCUCCCAGGGCAACACGAUUUAUAAAAUAUGGGAAAAUGUGUAAAAAAAAAAAAAAUAAGUUUUUUACACUAUCCCGUUAUGCCUCUGUUAUUGCUGUAGCCAACUAGCUUGUUGGAUUUCCCUCCCCGCUGCAGGUUGUCUUCUGGAUGGCUGUAAAGACCAUCUUCCUGAAAUAGCACCUGAAGAAAGACUUGGGUGUUUCAGGGGGGAGCCAGAAAGUACAGUUAGAAGUAUGAUAUGAUAACUUUAAGAACUAGGCCAGCUCGAAGGAUUAUAUUAUCAUCAUUAAGAGAAACAGAGCCAAAUUACUCUCUGUUACCUUAACUAGUAUUGUUAGAUAACAGUCUUCUUAGAACAUCCUGGAAAAGUGGCAUCCUUUUGUUGUGUUUGGAUUAGAUGAAGCUUUUAUGUUGAGCCCAAUAAUUGCCAACAGGAGAAAAAUAUAACUUGAAGGACAUGCAACUCAUGCAUACAUCAUUCUAGCAAUUGAAGUUUUCCAGAUUCAAAAUUUUUCAUUUGCUGUUGAAAUAUGCAUGAAACACUGUUAGUAACAUACUCCCCUUCUUAAAAAAAAAAAAAAAAAAAA